rnacentral:lncRNA from 1 species
UUGCCUUUUUGCUUUAGGCUAAUGUAGCAUUUUUAUUUUUAUUUGACAAAUAUUGUCCAAUCAUGAAUUAACUAGGCUCAAAAUAUUCAUCUCGCGAUUUACAGACAAACUGUGCAAUUAGUUUUUUAUUUUCAUCUAUAUUUAAUAUUUCAUACAUGUAUAACAAGAUUUGAUGUGACGGGGAAUCUUGAAAAGUUUUUUUAAUUUUUUUGGGUCUACAGAUGACCUGAUCAAGGCCUUGUUUACUUCCACUCAAAAACCUAAAGUUUUUCAAGAUUUUCCAUAACAUCGAACCUUUAGACAUAUACAUAGAGUAUUAAAUAUAGACGAAAAUAAAGACUAAUUACAUAGUUUGGUCGGAAUUGAUGAGACGAAUCUUUUAAGCCUAGUUAAUUCAUGGUUGGAUAAUAAUAAUUAAUACAAACAAACGAAAGUGCUAUAGAGUGUCAUGAAAUUUUUUCGUUGGGGAAGUAAACACGGCCCAAGUAUCCCAGGUUUCAGAUUGACCUGCACUGCAUUGACAACCAAGUCUCGAAUGUUAACACCAACGUCAGCCGGUGCCCCAGGUUUCACAUUGACCCUGCUCAUACUAUUCUAUUCUGUAAUAAGGCCC